rnacentral:rRNA from 1 species
CCUACGGGAGGCAGCAGUGAGGAAUAUUGGACAAUGGGCGCAAGCCUGAUCCAGCCAUGCCGCGUGCAGGAAGAAGCAUCUAUGGUGUGUAAAUUGCUUUUGUACAGGAAGAAACACUCCCUCGUGAGGGAGCUUGACGGUACUGUAAGAAUAAGGACCGGCUAACUCCGUGCCAGCAGCCGCGGUAAUACGGAGGGUCCGAGCGUUAUCCGGAAUCAUUGGGUUUAAAGGGUCCGUAGGCGGUUUAAUAAGUCAGUGGUGAAAUCUGGUCGCUCAACGAUCAAACGGCCAUUGAUACUGUUAGACUUGAAUUAUAAAGAAGUAACUAGAAUAUGUAGUGUAGCGGUGAAAUGCUUAGAUAUUACAUGGAAUACCAAUUGCGAAGGCAGGUUACUACUUAUGGAUUGACGCUGAUGGACGAAAGCGUGGGGAGCGAACAGGAUUAGAUACCCUGGUAGUCCACGCCGUAAACGAUGGAUACUAGCUGUUCGGAGCAAUCUGAGUGNGUAGACGAAGUAGAGUAAGUAGUACCACCGUCGGGAGGUAACGGUUCGUCGAAGAAGUAGAAACGUUAACGAAAGAAGUUAGACGGCGUUGAGACGAGCGACGGACGACGACGAGGGAGGAGG